rnacentral:tRNA from 1 species
GCAUUGGUGGUUCAGUGGUAGAACUCUGGCCCUCCAUGUAGAAGGCUGGGGUUCAGUUCCCAGCCAGUGCA